UGGGGAAUAUUGCACAAUGGGCGAAAGCCUGAUGCAGCCAUGCCGCGUGUGUGAAGAAGGCCCUAGGGUUGUAAAGCACUUUCAAUUGGGAGAAAAAGCUAAUGGUUAAUACCCAUUAGCCUUGAUGUUACCUUUAGAAGAAGCACCGGCUAACUCCGUGCCAGCAGCCGCGGUAAUACGGAGGGUGCAAGCGUUAAUCGGAAUUACUGGGCGUAAAGCGCGCGUAGGCGGUUUGGUCAGUUGGAUGUGAAAGCCCCGGGCUUAACCUGGGAACUGCAUUCAAUACUGCCAGACUAGAGUACGAGAGAGGGGGGUAGAAUUUCUAGUGUAGCGGUGAAAUGCGUAGAUAU
rnacentral:rRNA from 1 species